rnacentral:rRNA from 1 species
GGAGGGGUGCAAGCGUUAAUCGGAAUUACUGGGCGUAAAGCGCGCGUAGGUGGGAUAUUUAAGUCGGAUGUGAAAGCCCCGGGGCUCAACCUGGGAACUGCAUUCGAUACUGGGUAUCUAGAGUAUGGUAGAGGGAAGUGGAAUUUCUGGUGUAGCGGUGAAAUGCGUAGAUAUCAGAAAGAACAUCAGUGGCGAAGGCGACUUCCUGGACCAAUACUGACACUGAGGUGCGAAAGCGUGGGGAGCAAACAGGAUUAGAGACCCUGGUAGUCCACGCCGUAAACGAUGAGAACUAGACGUUGGGAUCCAUUGGGUCUUAGUGUCGAAGCUAACGCGUUAAGUUCUCCGCCUGGGGAGUACGGCCGCAAAGGUUA